CGCUCUCUUGCAUGCUUCAUGAUAUUACUUACACAAUCCAGGAGAAACGGAUCUCUUCCAAGGCCUGGACCAACAACAAGACAAUCAAACCUCUCUAUCCACUUCUCAACUUCAGCGAUCACUUUAGCUGAUAUGGAACUUUUCUCCUCGUCCCUGAUACUGUAGGACUCUUCUAAAAUAGGGUGCACAAUUAACUCAGGACUGUAGCUUUUUAUUACAGGAGCAGCAUCUUUAGUACAGAAUACAUGAGAUAAAUCUGCACCAAUCUUUAAGGCUGAAAUUGCAGAGAAGUAUGGUGCACCAGUGUAUUCUCGACAGCCACCAACAACAGCUAUCUUACCCGCUUGGCCUUUAUGUUUAGUUGAUUCAAGACCCGGAAUUAUUGAUCUCAAAAUGCUGACAGAGUCGGCCUCCAAGCUUGGCCCACUACUCAUUACAGAUUGCAUUCUAAUACUCUGAAAAUUGAAGUUUUUCUUCUUAGUAGAACCUCCCAAACACCUUAUCAAAAACUGCUGCCUCCUGCUGACAGCCGCAGAGUAAGCCAGCUUUAAUUUAUCUCUGAUGAAUUAUCGGAGGGGAUGAAGAUGACCAAUUUUUCUACACUUCAG
rnacentral:misc_RNA from 1 species